rfam:Triticum aestivum genome assembly, contig: Triticum_aestivum_CS42_TGACv1_scaffold_486336_6AS
UUGAUACUCACUCCGUCCCGAAUUACCUGUCGCAGAAAUGGAUAAAAAUGGAUGUAUCUAGAACUAAAAUACGUCUAGAUACAUCCAUUUCUGGGACAAGUAAUUUCAGACGGAAGGAGUAUUAG